ACGGAGGAUGCAAGUGUUAUCCGGAAUCACUGGGCGUAAAGCGUCUGUAGGUGGUCAAAUAAGUCAACUGUUAAAUCUUGAGGCUCAACCUCAAAAUCGCAGUCGAAACUAUUCGACUAAAGUAUAGUAGGGGUAAAGGGAAUUUCCAGUGGAGCGGUGAAAUGCGUAGAGAUUGGAAAGAACACCGAUGGCGAAGGCACUUUACUGGGCUAUUACUGACACUGAGAGACGAAAGCUAGGGUAGCAAAUGGGAUUAGAUACCCCAGUAGUCCUAGCCGUAAACAAUGGAUACUAGAUGUUGAACAGAUCGACCUGUGCAGUAUCAAAGCUAACGCGUUAAGUAUCCCGCCUGGGAAGUAUGCUCGCAAGAGUG
rnacentral:rRNA from 1 species